AGACAUUUCUAAUCAAUUCCAGCAAUCCUUCCUCUUGACCCAGGAUAUUUAUGCCUCAGAGUCCUGUGCCCCAGGCAGCUGUUAGCAGAUGGGACGACUGAAUGAUGAAACCUCUUUGCUGUGUCUGGGGUGGUGAAGGGCAUAAGCUUUGCAGGCAAAUGUGUUUAGGAGGUUCAAAUCCCAGUUUUGCCACUUAGAAGUUGUGGGACAUAGAGCAAGAUACUUACAAUAUUUAGCCCUCCAGGUGAUUCUGAGGUGCAUUAAACUAUCCGAACUACAAGCCAGAAGGCAAAGGAGAGCGGCUGGGCAAGGAGAAGUGCGGGAGUGAGAUUGUGACCAAGUGGGGGCAGACCUGAUGAAAUUAGAGAAGGCACCUCCCCGUCAAGGAAGCGUUGCAUGUUCCCGUGGCAGAGGAUUUUCAGGCUGUGGAGAAAACAUAUUGAAGAUUAAAAUGAAAGUCAUUCAGAGUCGGAUGCCCCUAAACUGUGACCAUAAAAAAGCAGAGCUUCAAAGCUACUAAUUUGUGUGGUCUCCUGUGGGUGCGGCUUCGACCACCAGAGGGAGCUGUGGGAGCAAGUCACAAAAAUCCCAGACUGGACUAAGCAACCAGGAAACUUCGUUCUCAAGUAACUAGAAGUCUAGAAGAUCUUGCAACUGAUCUUCAGAGAGUGAAGCAGCUGGACUUGACUUUUUAGAUAGUUCAUGUGGGCAGUUGUGUGGAAAGCAGAUUCAAGAGAGGUGAUACUGAAGUCAAGAGGACCAGUGAGGAGAGUCAGCCAUCUAUCUGUCUCCUAAUAUCUACUUAGAUGUUACUGAUCUGCGAGAGUUAGCCGUGAAGUGCACUCUUGAAGAACAAACCUGUGAUGGAGAAAGAAAAUAGAUGUGGUGGUUCCAUUCCCAGAUAAGGGGUUGCCCAAAUGUAAUAUCAGUAGGAAGAAAGUCUCAUUUCUGCAGAGAGAGAGAGAGGUGCUCUCUUCCUUGAUGAUUCCACUUCCAAGGGAUGGCUCCCAGGUCCUUGAGAAAGACUUUCCUGGGCGGGAAAACUGGUGAGAAGCUGGGAGAUGAUUUACAUCUCAAGGGAGUAGAGAAAGAAUUUACAAUGGAAAGUUUUCUAAAGUAAACGCUGUAAGAAGAGGGCGCUCAGGGACUUAUGUUAGGAAGAAAUCUGUCUAAAGAGUAGUCCAGCUGAGGGGAACUCCAAGGCCAUCUAGGUCAGACCACCCGGCCUUUCCUUGCUCUCCAGGAAGCCAGGUCUCAGAAGUCUCCAACUGAUCUUCCCUUAACAGCGGGGGACCUCACGAUCAUCUGGCGAAGGGACUCUGACUUCCAGCCUCAUCCAACCAGGUGGAAACGAUUCCCUCUGCAGCCUGGUUUUCUGAAGCCCCGUGGGUGUAGAUCCUUGCAGUUUUCUGGCCCCAUCUCCAUCCUGGAGAGGAGAACAUUCACCUAAAUGACAUGCCCAGGACCAAAUGCAUCCACUUCUUCAGGCGAAAAACACGUUUUCAGCUCAGAGAUGAUUCCAUGAGACAAGAGGGUAGUAUCGGGGAGGGGGGAAGAGAAUCUUGUAGCCCAAAGACGGAAACCAGGGACAGAGUACCACCUUCCAGAAAUUACCAUCAUAAAGAGCCAAACCAGUGAGUGCUUGGCCGCCUGCGGCACAGCGGAAAACGGAAAUCUCCUUGGCUGGCGUUUUAGUUUGCCUAAGGGGCCGCGCUUUGCUCAGAGGGGAGGUGACUGUGCUGACCUUAAAAUCCAGACCUCGGGAAGCAGGAGAUGAAGGUAUUUUAUUUUCCCCUAAAGUCUUCGAUAUUUUUCAAAUAAAAAUUUAAAAGAUCCAGUACCUUCCCC
rnacentral:lncRNA from 1 species